GGAUUAGAUACCCUGGUAGUCCACGCCGUAAACGAUGUGCACUAGGUUGGGGAGGUUUUGACGCCGUUCCCGGCCGAAGCAAAAGUGUUAAGUGCACCGCCUGGGGAGUACGGUCGCAAGGCUAAAACUCAAAGGAAUUGACGGGAGCUCACACAAGCGGUGGAGCAUGUGGCUUAAUUCGAUGCAACGCGAAGAACCUUAUCCUGGGUUUGACAUGUAUGGAUUAACUCCCUGAAAGGGGAGCCACGCCCUUGUGGUGGAACAUACACAGGUGCUGCAUGGCCGUCGUCAGCUCGUGCCG
rnacentral:rRNA from 1 species